GGCGCGGGCGGAAGAGUGAGCCGGGGCCGUUGCGGUGCGGACUCUGUGUGCUUCCGUGGCCUCCGAGUCGGGGGAAUCGGAACCGAACCGCGCUCCAGUGCGGGAGAGCCUUAGCGGCUCCUCCCGUCACCCAGCAGGAGGCUCGCGCUGGGACGUGGGAGGCGUGGGGGCCGCAGAUGCUUAAGAUGAGCCCCUCUCGGGAGCGGUUCCCUGCGGGCCCCGGGGCCCGCGGAAGGCCCGGCGGGGCCGGCUGGGGCGUGUGAGAGGGCGCCGUGCAGGGGCACGGCUGUGACCCGCGGGCCCACCCUUCAGGGUGGGAAGCUGAGGAGGCGGACGGCUCCAGCCUGAUGCCCCUCGAGGGUGUACAGAGCCCCGCGCGGCCGGGGGUAGCCCGGGGGGCUCGCUUUUGUCAGACGCUAGGCUGCCCCUGGAGCAUCCACCCUCCAGCCAACGUGAGAGGAAAACGAAAACAGUUGAACUCGGUGUGUCAGCGGGAAGCAGCCUCUGGUCAGUUCUUUGUGUGCUUCGUGUCCAGUUGCACUGGGCACAGAUCUCUUACCCCGGAAGAAAAUGAGCGGCAAAAAGCGCUCUGAAAUCACCCGAGUAAUAGCGUUUGUGACCCGAUGUCAUCAGAAAUCGGAAUCUAUAAUGCGGCUGUGGUCUUUUUUGUGUGCACCUGAGUGGCACCGGAUACCCAAGCUAAUGAGAGCAGGAGGAGGAGACACCUCAUUGAAUCACUCUUCGUAAACUCUUGGUGGCUGGACACCCUUCAGCGCCAUCCUAAGUCGAGUGAGUUCUGGGACACGUUUGUUUGAUCUGGGCCUCUUUUUACUCACGCCGUGCUUGUGCGUGCUCUAGCACACAUCAUGGCUCACCAGCGGUGUGCCUAGUUAGCCCUGCCCCUGCUGGCAGAGACAGAGGAAGAACACCCUGCUGGAUGUUAUAGCGUGUCUUUCUGCUGCUCAUGCUGCCUCCAGGGAAAUAGUUGGGAAAACAGAAGGAUAUUUGGGGUUGGUAGAAGUCAUUCUGGCUUUCUAAAGGGCAUCAUAACGUUUUAGCCUGAGUGGUUUGGCCACUUUUAUUAAUAAGAGCUUAAAGAAACUGUGGACCAAGGCGUGGCAUGACUUCAUGGGAUUUCCAGGGGUCCAGAGAGCAAUGGCUGACAUGCCACCACGAUUCCAUGCUGUGGGGCAGUUAUUUCAUAUAAUUCUGAUUCAGUUAGCUAAAUGGUUAAGAUCAAGAAUUAGCAUAUAUGUAGAUCAAGCAUAGUAGCGUAUGUGUAGAAAGAAGCUUCAAUCCCAAGCACUUUAGUAGCUGUGUGCCCUCAAGAAGGAUGCUUAAUCUCUGAGACAGUUUCUCCAUCUUUAAAAUGGAGAUAAAAUAUAGGUAACUGCCUCAAGGUUGUUGUGAGGAUUAAAUAACAAUGCAUUGAACAUUCAGGUGCUGGCUGUUAUCCUUCUCUGAUCUGCAAGUUUUGUGGGAAGCAUUAUGUAUCUCACAGACAGUGCCUUUGACUUAGUCUGGAGAAGCAGAAGAAUCCGGCUUCCACCACUGACCGCUUAGGUGCUCAGGAAAAUCACUCAACUUUGGAGUUGCAAUGUCAUCUUCAAAAUGUUGAUGAAAUGAAAGAAACUGAGCAAAAGUGUAAACUACAGAGCAAUGAGAAGAUGAGAUGGCUUUUGCUGAUUCUUCUUUGGCUUUCUCUGGUGUGGCUGAAAGUGGAAUCAAAAGAAAUUGUGAAGCUGGGCAGUCCAGUAAAAGCAGGCUGGCUUUAUGUGCCAUGAAGCUUGGUAUUUUGUGUCAUUUAUGUGAAAGCAGUCAAGUGCAUCAGAGGACCCUCAGCUGCCACUCAAACACAUUUUAUGUGCCUGCUUGGCCCGUUGGCCCACCUCCAUCGGUGAAAAGCACGUCUGCACUCCAGAGGGUUAACAAAAGCUUGUGUGCUGCAGAGUGGACAUAAGACUAUGUCUCUCUGUGGCAGAUACCCAUGCACAGAAGUACAGGAUUACUGCACUUCUUUUUGUAACCAACAUAUCUAUUGUGACAUUACAACUAGGUAGAACUUUCAUUAUGUCAAAGUGAAAUACCGAUAAAUUUUUAUAGGAAAGAGGUGUGUUGGAAGGACUACUUUCAGUCUCAAACUCAUAGUAACUUAUUUUUUUAAAUGUUCUGCAUACAAUGUAUUACUUUGAUAACAUCUAGACUACUAGAUUAAAUGUUCCAGAGCACAAAGUACUAAGAUAUGAGCAGUGCUUUGAUUCCAUUUACCAAGGAAAAAUACCUACUUUUGUCUUAUGCCAGUAAUCCUCACUGGUCCCCAAUUUUUAGGACAUAUUUAGAAGGAAAAAGAAGAAAAGUAGCAAAUGGUACCUGGUCCAUGAUAGUCUUGAAUCUUAAUUCACUAAUGUUAAGUGAGAACUCAGUUUAUACUCUUUAAAAAAGUUUCAGAGCCCAGAUAUGAUCCUCUUCAGUAGGAAGGCUGGAGGCUCAGAUAACUCGCUCAUGUCACAGCAGGAUAGACAAUUUUGUUUUUCCACAGAGGGACACUUCAAUAAGUCAACUAUUUAUUUAUAGUAAGAAAAGGACAUUAUAAGCAUAUUGAAAGCAUGUGCAGCUCUUAUUGAGUACUGUACUUCUUUCUCUCGGCCUCAGCAUUCUUGUGAGAAAUCAUUGACAGUCAUUGUGAUGAGUGGGGCUCUCUUUCUUUGCCCAGAUCUCUCAGGAAAAGGCUACAACUCCUGGGCGUAUAGAGGAACAUCAGUCACAGAUAUGAGUGGUAUUGUUCACAGAGCAUUUUACAGCACAAAAUAUUCAGUUCUCAGGAUAUCAAACAUCCUUUUUAUGAAAAUGAUUUGACACACCACAAUCCUAAAAGUUGAUAAAUUACUCUCAAAAUGUUUAAGAAUGUGUGAAUCCAAGAAAUGCAUGGGACAACACAAGCCCGUUUUCAUACAGGAAAGCCUCUAUUAAGCCUUAUUAAAGACGAAGACCCUUGUCUUUAGUCUAGGGUGAUAGCGUUGGUCACUUUAGUAUGUUUUUGUAUAUUUUGCAGGGUUGGGGUAGUGGCAGUAGUCUCCUCAGAUCUUACCUUUCCUUUGGUGGUUCCAUUUGAGUCACUAAAAUUUCCUGUUAUUUUGUACAGAAUGCAUCUCAGACAGUAAACAACAUACAAAGUAAACAAAAGUUUGUAUCAUUGUUUGAAAUUUAAAACAGAAAUGGUGGCUGCUGAGUCACGCUGUUUUGCAUCAUAUCAAAAGUGAUAGGCUACAUUUUACAAAAGACUAAAACAGCCCUUGUAAUGAGAAAAGCAAGAAGGGCAAUCACGACUUGUUUAAACGUGCAAGUUGAUAAUGAGUAAUGUCUCAGCCUUCACAACAUCGCAGAUAAAACCCUUGAGAAAGGAACAGAAAUCUGUUCACCGUCGAACAAGAUUCUGCUUUUGUAAGGGACAAUUCAGGCCAUGCUGCAUUUUUAGUAGAUUAGCAGAUGUUUUCGAUAAACCUGUAGCUCAGAAGGAUUCAUCACGUUCACUGGGUUUGACGAGUACAAAAUUAAGGAAGUUAAAUCAGUCCCAAGGAAAAGAAUGCUGUGUAGGCAGCCCAAUCAAAUGACCAAAGGCUAAAGCAAUCCCCCAGGAGACAAAAUGCUCACACUACCCGAAUGUGCUUUUGCUCUGAAAGGGUGUCUAUUGAAAGAACCACAGGUGUGAGAGUUUAUAUGAAGUUGUAGCAGUUUUCAAUCCCAUGCCUCGUAAGAUAGGGUGGUUUAGUUCUUGACGCACACAUUUUCAUCAGAUCCAUAGCAUCAACUACCUGGGAGGAAACAAGAGUAAAACACAAAGAUGUGCUGUGGGCUCAUUCCUGACAAAAGGCCUGUCUCCUGCCUUUGAGGGAAUGCCCAGGGGCUUCCCUGGUGGCACAGUGGUUAGGAACCCGUCUGCCAAUGCAGGGGACACGGAUUCCAGCCCUGCUCCCGGAAGAUCCCACGUGCCGUGGAGCAACGAAGCCCGUGCGCCACAACUACUGAGCCUGCGCACCUGGAGCCUGUGCUCCCAACAAAAGAAGCCACCACAAUGAGAAGCCUGAGCACUGCAGUGAAGAGCAGCCCCCGCUCGCCACAACUAGAGAAAGCCCUCGCAGCAGCGAAGACCCAACACAGCCAAAAAUAAAUAAACAAAUAAAUGUAUUAAAAAAAAGAAGAAGAAUGCCCAAUAACUUGGAUUCAGGAGACAAAUUCCAUGUAAGUUCAAACUCACAAUUCACCUUUUAUUGGCUGGGUGACAGGGCAAAUUAUUUACCUUUUCCAUGCCUUAAUUUUCUCAUCUGUUCGAUGCUGAUAAUAAAAACUACCUCCAUAGAGUUGCUUGGAUUAAAUUUGUUAAUACAUGUAAAAGCUAUAAAGCACUUCAAAUGGUAUCCGGCACAUAGACAGCCCUCAAGGCAAUUUUGUCCCCCAUGUUGGUUAAGCAUUAGUUGGGUCCUGGCAGAAGGGCAAUUAAGGUCUAGACUAUGCAAUAAACAUAAAACACUUGCGAGGUCUAAAAUUCAAACGCUGGUGAAGAGGUGGAACACAGAAGACCUUGGGAUAGAGAACUUGGUAUAGAGGAGGGGUGGGACCGUCUAAGCGACCAGAAAAGGCAGGAUGGAACAUGGCCUUGAAGGAACCAGCCUGACUGGAGUAGCAAAAUCAGGUUGAGCUGCGCUGUCCAGAGAAGAUGUGGCUAGUUGAACAGGGCUUGGAUUCCAUGACUGAGGAGAUCAGGUUCUGACAGGACUCUAUAACAGUUUCCUCAGAGGCUGUUCUACAAGUAGGAUUGGUUCCUAGAAAAUAGGGUAGAAUGUAAGGGAAGCGUCUAGAAGAAGAUAGCUCAGUUAAAAGGCACUGAGGCCCAUCUAAGGAUGAGUAGGUAAGGCUCUAGAGCAGGGUAAUAAGUAUGAGUAGAAGAAGGCAGAAACUGCUAAGGAAAAAACAGGUCUUUAAGGGAUUAUAUUGUAGGGAACAAAGAAGAGAGGAGGCAAAGAUGGCUCUAGAAUCUUGAGCAUGCCUCCACUGUCUAAUAUUGUAUCCAGAUGAGAUAAGGUAGUCACUGGUAGACGGUAGAACACAUUCUCACAGAGUGCAGGGAAGGUUAGGAGAUGGCCUUGCCCUUUGUAUCUGAAGGAUUCUAAAUCAUCAUUGGUGAAACUGAGAGUGAGAGAAGAAGAGUCAAGGGACUUCCCUGGUGGUGUAGUGGUUGAGUCGGCCUGUCAAUGCAGGGGACACGGGUUCGAUCCCUGGUCCAGGAAGAUCCCACAUGCCGCGGAGCAACGAAGCCCGUGCACCACAACUACUGAACCUGCGCUCUAGACACCGAGAGCCACAAUGACUGAGCCCACGUGCUACAACUACUGAAGCCCUUGCACCUAGAGCCCAUGCUCCACAAGGAAGGGUAGCCGCCCCACCACCCCACCACAACUAGAGAAAGCCCGCAAGCAGCAAAGAAGACCCAAUGCAGCCAGAAAAAAAAAAAAAAGAGUCAAGACUUCUGAGUAUUGCAAGGGAAUCUCCGGAGCCUUGGAGCUCCACUCAAUACAGCUGUUUGUAAUUAGAACCACCUGAAGGAUUACCUGCUCACGAGGGCUGAUACAAGGCAGGACGAGAGCUAGGGAUGAGCCUUGGGGAUGAGGAUAAAAAGCUGUAAGAAUCCUUUCCUUGGUGUGGACUUUGCUGCCACAAUCAUGUUAGUUAACACGUCCUUUACUUCACAUAAUUACCAUUUUGCUGUUAUAUUGUAUACUCUCUCAAGUACACAAUACAAUAUUGUUAACUACAGUCAUUAUACUGUAAGUUAGAUCCCCAAAACCUAUAACUGAAAAUUUGUACCCUUUGACUAACAUCUCAUUUGCCUCUGCCCUCAGCCCCGGCAACUACCAUUCUACUCUCUGAUUCUGUGAAUUUGAUGUUUUUAGAUUCUACAUAUAAGUGAGAUCAUGCAGGAUUUGUCUUUCUCUGUCUGCCUAAUUUCACUCAGCCUAAUGCCUUCAAGGUCCAUUCAUGUUGUUACAAAUAGCAGGAUUUCCUUCUUUCUCAAGGCUAAAUACUAUUCCAUUGUGUGUGUCAUAUCAAAAAAAAAAAUCACUGCCAAGACCAAUGUCAAGAAACUUUCCCCUUAUGUUCUUCUAGGAGUUUUAUGGUUUCAGGUCCUAUAAGUUAAUUCAAUUUUUAAGUACCAAGAAAUUAUUGUACUUAAAUGCUGUUCACUGCGGCAUUAUUUACAAUAGCUAAGACAUGGGAGGAACUUAAGUGUCUGUUGAUGAGUAAACAUAUAAAGAAAGUGUGAGAUAUAUAUACAUAUAUAUAUACACAUACACACAAUGGAAUAUUAUUGAGCCAUAAAAAAAGAAGGAAAUCUUGCCAUUUGCAACAACAUGGAUGGCCCUUGAUGGCAUUAGGCUAAAUGAAAUGUCAGACAAAAAAAAAAUAUAUAUGUAUGAUCUCACUUAUAUGUGAAAUCUAAACUAACUACCUAACUAAGCUACCUCUCAAAACCCACUGAACUCAUAGACAGAGAACAGUUUGGUGGUUGUCAGAGGCAAGGGACAGGGGUGGGUGAAAUGGGUGAAGGUGAUCCAAAGGUACAAACUUCCAGUUAUAAAAUAAAUAAGUCAUGGAGAUGGAAUGUACAGCAUAGCAACUAUAGCUGAUAAUACUCUAUUGUAUAUCUGAAAGUUGCUAAGGGAGUAGCUCUUAAAAGUUCUCACAAGAUAAAAAAUUUAUAACUAUGGGUGGUGAUGGAUGUUAACUAAGCCUAUUGUGCAACUUACACAAAUAUGGAAUCAUGCUGUACACCCGAAACCAAUACAAUGUUACAUACUAAUUACAUUGCAAUUAAAAAAAAAGUAGAGGGCUUCCUAGGUGACGCAGUGGUUGAGAAUCCGCCUGCCAAGGCAGGGGACACGGGCUCGAUCCCUGCUCCAGGAAGAUCCCACAUGCCGCGGAGCAACUAAGCCCGUGCACCACAACUAUUGAGCCUGCGCUUUAGAGCCCAUGAGCCACAACUCAUGAGCCCAUGUGCUGCAACUACUGAAGCCCACGCGCUUAGAGCCCGUGCUCCGCAACGAGAAGCCACGGCAAUGAGGAGCCCGCGCACCACAAUGAAGAGUAGCCCUCCCUCAUAGCAACUAAAAAAAAAGCCUGCGCACAGCAAAAAAGACCCAACACAGCCAAUAAAUAAAUAAAUAAAUUUAUUAUAAAAUAAAAGUGGAGUAAGUGUGCAAAUGGGAAAACGUCAGGCCUCAGCAGCAGUCACGCCGUAGGUACAUAAGUAUAUACAGACUGCCUACUCACCUUGGUUUCAGAAAGGCCACGAGAGGGUAGCAAGAGCCUGAACUAAUCAACAUAAAUUCUCUUCCCACUAACAAGUUUAAUUGUUCUGCGUUCCAGUUUCCUUAAAGAGGUGAAAAUUGAACAAGUUUACCAUUCUGAGAUUGCCGAUAAUUUGUGUUCUUGGUUGGGGGACACCCUGAAGGCAUUUGUUAUGGAUCCUGCAAAUGAACUGCUCCAGCUAGAUGCUGGCUGAAAAAUAAUUGACCCUCCUGUGCCCCUUCUCUGACUCCCACAGCACAGCGGGAAUCGCUGUGGAUCGUUUGUCCGGGAUGAGCGCUAAAUGCCGUCGCCCCUGAGCGUAGCUGCCGUCUCAGUGUGCGCAUCUCCCCCUCCCUCACUUCCAUUCUCCGCCCUGGUCUACGCACUCCUACUAACUGUGUCACCCAGCCUCCCCUGCCAACAGCAGCGUCGGCGGAAGGGGAUGGGUGUUGAAGGGGGCUGUGUUAUUCCCCCCCACUGCUCCUCUCCUGCUGCGGCAUGCUGUGGCAACGGCUGCAUUCCUUCACAUUUACAGCUCUGGGUGGUGGCCUCCUUGCCUGGCUCAGACUAGCACUGGACGACAGUAACACUGGUCCUGCCCUGUCCCUUCACACGUGGAGAUGGUAGUGGCUUCCUCUGUGGCUAGUUCCUGGUACUUCACCAUCUCUUGUUGAUUUUACUACCCCUGCCCACACCAAUGUAAGUGACCCCUUCAUUAAACACUUUUCCAAAACCUGGGUUUGGAAUCCACCCGUGUCUCUCACCAUCUCCAACUCCGAAUCUGUGAGUGACUUGCAGGAGGAGUUGGCACCUUUCACCGCAGAGCUGGAAGGAUUUGAAGAAGCUGAAGGACCUGGUAGCAGCUGGAAGAAGUGAGUGAAUCCAAGUGUAUCGAAGGCAGGAAAGGCAAAUCCCUGUCCAGUGAAGGUGUCCAUUCCAUUGAGAACAAAGUGCUGCUACUUCUGUGAUGGAAGUGAUCCAAGUAUUGGUUGCAGCAAAUCCUGUCUCAUCUUUACCUGAGUCUGGCCUGUAGGAGGCCCUUGGUUCUGGCCAGUGGCUGGAGGUGUUGGAUGAAUGGACAGGGAAUGCCCCCUGAAUGGAGAGUGGGCCCUGUGUUCCUUCAACAUCUUAGAAGCUUAUACUGAGUUUGGUAGGACUCACUGUUGAAGGAAUGCCUGGUCUGUGGGAGAUGGAGACAAGGGAGACUGGAAUUGCUAUGAUUUUCCUAGUAGAAUCUUCUGUCUGCCUUGAGAUGCCAAAAUGCAGGGCCCCAGAUCUGCAAGGAGUGGGAUUGGCCAGUGAGGAAGGUUGAGUGUGGGGCUGCUCUGCUGCGAGGUCACUGUCAGGGCCUGCUCCCAGGGAAGACGGGAAGGACUGUAGGAGAGCCACUGUCACACAUUUUCUGCAUCCUGGAGUCUUCCACCCAAUCUCCACUCUCCUUGGACCUGCUAAGGUAGUCUCCAUCUGCAUGGCUCAUUUUUCUUUAAAAAGUCCUUAAAAGGGACUGAACAGUAAUCUGAACAGAUGGCAUAGACAUGAGGGUUGUCUUUUUAAAAAAUUAAUUAAUUAAAUUUGGUUGCACCAGGUCUUUUUUAAAAUUUUUGUUAUCAAUUAAUUAGUUAAUUUUAAUUUUUGGCUGCAUUGGGUCUUCGUUGUUGUACGUGGGCCUUUUCUCUCUACUUGCAGCGAGCAGCGGCUACUCUUCCUUGCGGUACGCAGGCUUGCGGUGGCUUCUCUUGUUGCAGAGCACAGGCUCUAGGCACACAGGCUUCAGUAGUUGUGGCUCACAGGCUCUAGAGCGCAGGCUCAGUAGUUGUGGCGCACAGGCUUAGUUGCUCCACAGUAUAUGGGAUCAGGGAUUGAAUCUGUGUCCCCUGCACUGACAGGCAGAUUCUCAACAACUGCGCCACCAGGGAAAUCCGUGCCAGGUGUUAGUUGCGGCUGGUGGGCUCCUUAGUUGUGGCAUGUGAACUCUUAGUUGCUGCAUGCUUGUGUGAUCUAGUUCCCUGACCAGGGAUCGAACCCAGGCGCCUUGCAUUGGGAGCGUGGAGUCUUAACCGCUGCGCCACCAGGGAAGUCCCGUGAUGGCUGUCUAUUUAAUUUUUAAUUUUAAAAGUUUUUUUUUGUUUUUGUUUUGUUUUUUGUCUUUUGGUAUCUUCCAAACUGUCUGCAACAAACGUGUAUUACCUUUGUAACUUCUCCCGGAAGAUCUAAGUUCAGCCAGGGCUAGAGUUUAGGCCACAAUCAGCUUCUUGGCAUCAAACACCACCGGUUUAUUUACCUCAAGGAAGCAUAGGAAAAGGUGCCCCUCAUUUGUUGGCCCUACACCCUCUAAGCUCAGAUUCCUCCCCAGAACCCUUGGUUGGUGCAGUAUUUUUAGUUUAUUCCACUGUAGAAUAGAUGCUUCCGUAAUAAGGCCUAGUUCUUGUUAUUCUAUGUGCCUCAGCACCAAGGUGACUUUAAAAGCAAACCACGCUAAGCCUAAGCAAACAAUCCAGGAAAGAGUGAUGGUUUACUCCUUCAUUCCAUUCCCUCUGAUUACAUAUCUUGAUUACUAUCUCCCCUAUCACUUUUAGCACAAAGAACAAAAUACUUGAGAGGGGCUAUAGAAAAAUCCCAUAGAUUGAAGUUAUCACAGCAAUAAUUUUGAAGGAGAGAACUAACUAGCCUAAGGAUAUAAUUAUGUCUAUUUUUAAAGCUCACAGAAAAAUUCCUGCUGCAUAUGUGUUAUGGUAAAACAAAAUGCAGGCAUGGAAAAAUGACUGGCUUUAAAAAUAGCAAAAUACUUGAGAGCCCGGCUUGGCGCCAUUGGAGGUAGUACAGCUGGGGUCAGUUUAUAGACUUCUGUUUUUAAUUUGCAUAAAUAGUCUAGUGCUUGGCCAGAGCAGGCAUCCAGCUGUCUCAUCAGACUGAUUAAUAAAAAAUUAAAGAUAUCAAAAGGUGCUGGUGCUUGAGUGCUGGCAGUGUUAGGCAUCACGACAAAACUGAAAAGCGAGAAGCCUUUCACACUCCCACACCACAGAAAGCUCAGAACUUCUGACAAUGUUUUCUCAGCAUGAAGCUGAAAUUCUUCUGAGUUCUGCUAAGCUAAAAAACACUCGCACCCCCGCCACAAGAACAUCGUUCGUGUAGAGCAAGUCCCCGACAUAUGAACCUUCAAGUCGCAAACUUUCAGAGAUGCAAACGUGCAUUCCAUCCACGUCAGGCUGAGUGGGAUUGCAGCUGGCCCUCCGUCUCCUGUUGCUGGCCAUCCUGCAGCUCUACCGCCUCCCACCUCCUCUCCCUCCUCCAGUCAGUAACUCUUCUUGCCUGUUCACUCAAUGCCAGCCGCUAUAUGCCAGCUGUUGUACUGUGCUACUGUACUUUGCAAAGGUACUGUACUGUAAGAUUUAAAAUGUUUUUGAAAAUUUUUUGUUUGUUUUUAUGUAUUAUUUGUGUGAAAAGUAUUAUAAACCUAUUACAGUGCAGUACUAUAUAGCCAGUUGUGUUAGUUGGGUACCUAGGCUAACUUUGUUGGGCUUACAAACAAAUUGGACAUAUGGAUGCACUCUUGGAUUGGAACUCAUUUGUAUGUAGGGGACUUAUAGUAACGAUACUUCCACUGCACACUGCCCAGGCUGACAAGUUGAAGGUCCACACAGUGGAGCCCUGAAAUGGAAAAACCAAGUAGGCCUCCUAUCUUAAGUCACUUACAGUGGUAGCAGUGCUUGCUGUGUUUGUGCUUGGAUGUUUCUGUUCCAUCCAAAUUCAAAUGUUGAAAUCUUAACCCCCAAUGUGGUGGUGUUAGGAGGUGAGGCCUUUGGGAAGUGAUUAGGUCAUGAGGAUGGAGCCCUCAUGAAUGGGAUCAGUGCCCUUCUUAUAAAAGAGGUCCUGGAGAGCGCCCUCCCCCUUUCUGCCAUGUGAGGACAUUGUGAAAAGAUGGCCAUCUAUGAACUUAGAAAGAGAGCCCUCACCAGACACUGAAUUUCCCUGCACCUGGAUCUUCCAAGCCUAUAGAACUGUGAGAAAUAAAAGUGUUGUUUAAGCCAUCUGGUCCAUGGUACUUUGUUAUAGCAGUGCAAGUGGAUUAAGACAGUGCUUUCUAGGUGAAGGAAUCAUGGUUUUGUGGUGGAGUGCCAACUAUUUAUUCAAUAAACACAGAACACCCCUGAAGUCCAGGUUCUGAUAUUACUGUAGACAGGGUGAAGGCUUCCUGGAGAAUCUAUUGUCUUGUUUACAUAAAUGAGAUUAAGCAUUUAAAUUUUCAACCUCACAGAAUGAAAAAGAGGAUGCCCAAGAUCAAAAGCUAAGUGACUAAUAGAGAAUUUCAGGAAAAAAGCAGAACAGAUCAGAGUAGUUGGGAAUGGCAUCACAGAAUUGGGAUUGAAUUCAUCAAACCCUUAUUUAACAGAUAUAUUCUAUGCAUCAUACCUUCCAAGGACUCAAAGGUGAAUCAAUCCCAGAUCCUGGUCUCUUGCUCCUUAGUUUUGUUGAACACACAGGGAAUGUAGAAUAGAGGGUGAUGAGAGUCAUGACAACAGAUACAGAUAAAACUGUUCCUAGCACAAAACUUCAGAUUUAGAAAAAUCCUCAGAAAUAUCCUAACCCAAUCUCCUCCUUUACAAAUAAGAAAACUAAGAGCUUGUCGCUUGCCCAAUUUAUGCUGUUAAGUUUGGGACUGAGCUGGGAUCUGGACCCUGAUCUAGACCUUGAAGGACAGGUAUAUCCAGGCAGAGGGAAGAGUAAGGGCCCAGGCGGGGUUGAUGUUCAGCCAAACCAGCGCCCUGGCUUCUUGCUGUCGUCUGUUCCUGUUGGUGGGGGCUCCUGCGGACUCGUUAACGAUUCUGAAUGUCACCCCUGGGCAUGAGCACAGCUCGUUUCCUGUGCAGCUAAAUCAGUGUAGCAGAAGAAGGAGACAGUUUUUAAUAAUGAAGUACUAGGAGGCAAUUAAUCUCUUAGCACUGAUACAGCACUUGAGAUAGCACAGCUCUCUCUAAUGAUAUCACAAAUGGAGAAUCAAUGUACCAGAAAGUCCUCUAUGUUAUGAGCAGGGUAAAUGAAUAAGCUGAAUCCAACACCAUGAUACGAUCUGUAGCGCUCAGGAAUUAUGUUAGGUGAAGUAUUCACAAGUGUUAAAAUUAAAAAGACGGACAAAAGUCUUUUUACUUUUCUGGUCAUCAAGGCUUUACUCUUGGGAGGAGAGGAAAUUGGGAAGGGUGAGAGACACACAGUGGGCUUCUAGGGCGUGGCAAUAUUCUCUUUCUUCAAUAGUGGUAACUAUUCGUUAUACUAUACAUCUGUUUCUACACUUUUCCAUAUGCUACAUUUAAGAAUACAAAUUUAAGCUAAAGGAGAAUGAGGUUUGGUUUCUAUUCUGAAGGCUGGGAAAGUAAUGUGGAUAGAACAUCAAGUUCAAUGAGCAGUUGCUUGUAUACAGAACAAAGGAACCCGGGAACAAAGUCACUACAAUGGCACCAAAAUUAGAACAUGCAGAUUAGCUAUAAGCAUCCCUGUGGAGAGUAGUCCUUGCCAGCCUCUCCCUUCCACACGGAGUGGUUGUCGUCAAGAGCAACAAGUGGUUCUUGUUUAACAUGAAGGCAAAGGGGACACCUAGUAUUGUGUUCCUAACACUCCUGGGAGAUAUGGCCAACCAGACGUCUCAGGAAAACACACAGUAAGGACUUUGACAGCAAAUGGGCUGAGAAAAAGUUAAAAAACAAGAAUGAAUCAUUGAUAUUUUGAAUCACUGAUUUUCUUUUUUGGCUAUUGUAUCAUGUUCAUGUCCACAAUUCAGUGGCAUUAAGUACCUUCACAGUGUUGCGCAGUCAUUACCACUAUCCAGUGCCAGAAAAAUCAUCAAUUUUUAAACUGUAAAAUGUGGGCGCAAGAUCUUAAGUCUGAUAUCCUUUUUGGACAGAUUAAAGCAGCAGGGAACUUCUGGUCCUCUGCUGUAUCAGGAGGGAGACCACAGUGAUGCGGGGGCGGGGGGCGUUUUUCCUGAGACCCAAGGUUACAGCUGCUGUAGUCUAACUCCUCGCCUGCCGCACACACUGAUUUUCAUACUGAGUGGCCAGGUGGGGACACCGGAUGAUCACCACGGGCAGCCUUUCCCCAGUGCCACCGCUGGGCACAGUGCUGCUGGAUUUCACGGGCUGGUCCCAAAGGCGGGCUGCCCACAGCAGGGUGACAGGGAAGGAACUACUGUGCUUCCCAGUGCCUUGCAGCCUUCCCAGAGCUAUGAAUCUUUUGUUUGGGGUUUGAUUAUGCAAAACUACUCUCUUGCUGUAUCAUCUGCAAAAUUAGUAUCAUAUGGGAGCCAGCCAUUCAAACCUUCUCACUGUCCAAUUGCAGAAUCAAGGGUGGCCAAAAAGCCUGUGCAAGGUGACUCAGCAGAGGGAGCUGGGUCAUCUGUCCUGGUCUUGUGUUUCCCGCAUGCUGCCUCCGCAUGCAUUUAUUUAUUUAUUUAUUUAUUUUUAGCCACGACAUGCAGCUUGUGGGAUCUUAGCUCCCCAAGCAGGGGUCAAACCCAGGCCCUCGGCAGUGAAAGCACAGAGUCCUAACCACGGGACCGCCAGGGAAUUCCCACUGCCCGCAUUUUAAAGUGACUAAAGACCUAAAACAUUUUUCUUUUGCCUUAUUUUGAAUAACCAGACACUCCUAGGAGUAACAAAAUCAGAGCUAGGAAUCUCUAAUCUGGUGGGAUUCUUUUUUGGUCCUUUAACUCUAACACAUGUAGACCCUGAAAUUACAAUAAGGAAAAGGAUAGGACACAGUAACUCACAAUGUAAAGCAGCCUGACCCAGAUGUUGACAACAGACCAAUUUCCAAAAGUGUAGUCUGGCGGCUUGUUUCAAAGUGGGAAAUAUAUGGGAUCCUAGAAUAGCAUCCACAGCCCCCGGCUAAAAUGUCUCUGCAGAACCUGCAGCCAAGACCACUGCUGAUACAUGGACGUUGCUCAUACCUAUGCCCGUUCAUCCAUUCUCAGCCCCUUCCCUUCUCUUCCUACCCUUCCGUGACCCAUGUUCCCACGUUCCCAUAAUUUCUCACUCUCCGGGUUCCCAGGAGCAUUGAGCUCACCCCUGAAUUUUCAGGACUCCCCAUUAGAGUACCCUGGCUACGACCAUAUUUCUGAAAAAUCUUAUGACUCAUGUGACUGUUUUCCUGAAUUUCUCUCCAUUAUCAAAGCCCUGUACUAUCAAGACUUCCCUGGUGGCACAGUGGUUAAGAAUCCACCUGCGAAUGCAGGGGACACGGGUUUGAUCCCUGGUUCGGGAAAUCCCACAUGCCAUGGAGCAACUGAGCCCGUGCGCCACAACUACUGAGCCUGAGCUCUAGAGCCUGUGAGGCACAACUAUUGAGCCCGUGUGUUACAACUGCUGAAGUCUGCAUGCCUAGAACCCAUGCUCCACAACAAGAGAAGCCAUCGCACUGAGAAGCCCACGCACCAUGAUGAAGAGUAGCCCCCACUCGCCGCAACUAGAGAAAAAAGUCCAUGUGCAGCAACGAAGACCCAACACAGCCACUAAAAUGAAAUUAAAAAACAAAACAAAACAAAACAAAAACCCUGUACUAUCAGUCUCACUUCCAGAGGGUCCUAUAUUGACUUCCCAGGAUAAUAAUUUUAAAAACUAAUCAAGGUUCGUGAAAGCAGAACCACAUUAUAACUUUAGAAAACCCUAGGCACUGUUUUUUUACCUUUGUGGGCCCCUUCCUCCAUAAAAAAUAUUAAAAAUCAUACUGCAUAACUUCAUUUGGAGAAAGAUAGACAUAACUCAGAUUGUAUUAUUAUUUUUUUCCUCUAACUUUAAGAAAAAUGAAAGUGAAAACCUAUGCAUGGGUCCCUGCAAGGAUCAUAGGCCCUACACAUGCUGGCCUGUUAGUACUGCCUGAAGAUUGGCUGGGUUAUACUGGCUUAUCAGAUUGUGCUAGGUUAUCACUUAGAAUGCUUUUGUUUGUAAAUAAUGGGAUAAAAGUCAAGGGCUUAGACAGUUAAGGUAAUGAAGUUCGAAGAUGGAGGUGGCUUGGGGCUAGGUGCCUGCUCUUGUGAAACUUCCAUUCUUCAGAUAAAGACACAGAGAAAGACCACAUCACGGGCCCUGCUUUUUACUUGCCUGGUGGCCAUUGCCCUCCUCGUUAACCUUGCUGUCAGAACUCACCUCUAUGAUGGACAGAAGCUGAAAUGCCAGAUACUUGAUUUCUCAGCCUCCCUGGAAGCUACGGUUUGGCUAUAUAACUCGGUUCUGGCCAUUACAACUUUAGUUUGAAAGUAUGCUGGGGGCUUCUUGGACAGGUUUUCUCCCUCUUAGAUGUGCAUGAAGUUCCCACUCCUUCUAUCCUGCUUUGUGAUAUGAUGCAAUUCUACAGCUGUCUGGAAGCCAUGAGAGGCCACAAGGACACUUUCAAGAUGGCAGAGCAAAAAAGAUCCAAUUCUGGGUUCUCGAUGAUUUUGUGGAACUAUAUAAUCCACCAUGAAACUACCUACCUCUGGACACUUUCAUUAAGUGAGAGAAUAAACUCUAAUUUAUGUAACUUUCAGCUGGGUAUUCUACAACUUGCCACUUGCUAUAGAUAACAAGAAAACAAAUGCACCAGAAAUGUUCAGAUAUUGAUAAAUGCUGUUGGGAAAAUAAAUAUAUUGAAGGGCUACUUCAAAGUAUAUAAUUAUAGAAGGA